rnacentral:rRNA from 2 species
ACGGGAGGCAGCAGUGGGGAAUAUUGCACAAUGGGGGAAACCCUGAUGCAGCGACGCCGCGUGAAGGAAGAAGUAUUUCGGUAUGUAAACUUCUAUCAGCAGGGAAGAUAAUGACGGUACCUGACUAAGAAGCUCCGGCUAAAUACGUGCCAGCAGCCGCGGUAAUACGUAUGGAGCAAGCGUUAUCCGGAUUUACUGGGUGUAAAGGGUGCGCAGGUGGUUUGGCAAGUCAGAAGUGAAAACCCGGGGCUCAACUCCGUGGAUUGCUUUUGAAACUGUCGAACUAGAGUCCAGGAGAGGUAAGCGGAAUUCCUAGUGUAGCGGUGAAAUGCGUAGAUAUUAGGAGGAACACCAGUGGCGAAGGCGGCUUACUGGACUGGUACUGACACUGAGGCACGAAAGCGUGGGGAGCAAACAGGAUUAGAUACCCUGGUA